UUUUUUUUUUUUUUUUUUUUUUUUGGUGAAACUGUUUCUUUGUGUAGCCCUGGCUGUUUUGAAAUUCACUCUGUAGACCAAACUGGUCUCAAAUUCAGAGACCCUCUGCCUCUGUCUCCCCAGUGCAAGGAUUGAAGGCAUGCAUAACCCAGUACAUCCUCGAACCCUUGAUGCUCCUAUUUUUAAAAAAAUCCAGGAAAACACAAAAGACAGGGCUGGAGAGAUGGCUCAGCUGGUAAGAGCACCGACUGCUCUUCUGAAGAUCCUGAGUUCAAAUCCUAGCAACCACAUGAUGGCUCACAACCAUCCAUAAUGAGAUCUGAUGCCCUCUUCUGGCAUCUGAAGACAGCUACAGUACACUUACAUAUAAUAAUAAAUACAUCUUUAAUUACAUAUAAUAAUAAAUAAAUGUUUAAAAAACACACACCCAAAGACAAAGGACAAAAGAACCAUAAACUGGUGCUUAGAAAAGACUAACAAGCUAGGCAGGGAUGGUGCACACCUUUAUUCUCAGCACUAGGGAGGCAGAGGCAAGUGGAUCUCUAGGUUAGAGCAAGUUCUAGGACAGCCAGGGAUGUGCAGAGAGACCCUGUCUCCAACCCCCUCCCCCCAAAAGAAAAGAUUAAUAAAGGUUAACUAUAGCCAGGCAUGGUGGCGCACUCGGGAGGCAGAGGCAGGUGGAUUUCUGAGUUCAAGGCCAGCCUGGUCUACAGAGUGAGUUCCAGGACAGACAGGGAUACACAGAGAAACCCUGUCUCGAAAAACCAAAAACAAGAAGGUUAACUAUAAAAAGAAAUUAAAAGCUGGAGUGAUGGCUCAGUGGUUAAGAGCACUGUUUUUAAUCCCAGAGGACCCAGGUUCCGGGCACCCACAUAGUGGCUCCUAGCCAUCUGUAACUUCAGUUCCAGGAGGUUUGGUAUGAUACCCUCUUCUGGCCUCUUGAAUGUACCAAGUAUGCAUGUUGUCCAUAGAUGUGCAUGUAGACAAAACACCCAUACAUAUAAACAUGAAUCUUCAAAGGGAUGGCUUGGUUGCCACUGAACCAGGUGACCCAAGUCCCAUCCAUGGAGCCUAAAGUGAGAGAGAGGAUGAGUCCCACGGCUUGUUCUCUGACCUCCACGUGGGUAUCAGGGCACACAUGUGUCAUACAACAUAGGCCCAUAUAUACAUACAUGUAUAAUAAAUGGAACAAAAACAUUUAAAUCCCUAAAAAAGACUAAUUAAUCAAGGCAAUAGAACAAAAAUGUACCCAAGAAUAAAUAGGAGAGGCCAUUACAACACAUGGAAAGAUAAUAUGUUAGCAGGUUUAUGCGCACUAUUUUAGGUUUCCAUUGCUGUGAUAAAGCACCUUGGGGUGGGAAAGGUUAAUUUUAUUAUACUCCCACAACACUUCAUCAUCAAAGAAAGUCAGUACAGGAACUCAAGCAGGACAAGAAGCAGAAACUGAUACAGAGGCCAUGGAGGGAUGCUCCUGACUGACUUGCUCAGCCUGCUUUCUUAUAGAACCCAGGACUACCAGCCCAGGGAUGGCCCCAACCACAGUGGGCUGGGCCUUCCCUCAUCAGUCAUCAAGAAAAUGUACCUUAGGCUUUCUCACAGGUGAGUCCGGUGCAUACAUUUUUCCAUUGAGGAUCCCUCUUCCAACGUGACUCUAGUUUCUGUCAAGUUUACACAAAACUCACCAACACACCUCUCAUCCCGGCCCUUGGGAAUUGAAGGCAGGAGUUUCAGGAGUUCAAAGUAGCAAGGCAGAGAUCCCCAGAGAAGCUAGAAAGAUCUCCAGAAGUGCUAUCUAAGCCAGGACCUGAAGGUGAGGAUUAAAUCCCUGAAGACUAUAGCAGCCAGGGUAGGUGGUACAGUCACAGGCUGUGAGGUUACAGAGAACUUUGUAUGUCUGACGGGGGAACACCCUUCAUAGGAGAUCAUGGUGGCACACUCACAGAAUCCCAGUUCUGGGGAGGCAGAGACAGAUUUCUGGGAAUGGGAGGGGCGUCCAGAGGCAUCUCAGUGGGUAGAGUACUUGCUCAGCAUUCAUGAAGCCCUGGGCCCAUCCCAGCGUGAGUAAAUUCAGCAUGGUGGCACCCAGACAUCAUCCCAGCACUGGGGAGAUGGAGGCCAGGCGAUCGGGGGUUCAAGGACGUCCUUGGCUGCUGCAUAAUGAGUUGGAGACCAGUCCAGACUACAUGAGACCCUGUCUCAAGAACACGCAGGCUUCAUCUUGUCCUUGGCAUCAUUUUAAUGGAGUCUCAUGCAUAUAUGCACAGACAUAAAAUAAAAGUAAGUCCUUUACAAAGCUUUGGAUUUAUUUCCUGUGGUUGAGGGAUUUGGAUGUCUGUGCACUAAGAAUGUGUCUAGUGUGGGGAGCGGGUGUGGCGGCAGUCCCAAAGGCGCCAGGGACUGCAGCUAAGUCAUAUGACUUGCACCUGACUUCCUCAUAUAAGACACAAACAUCUUGAGUGCUGCGCAGGUGUACCAGGAUACAGGUGAAUCCAAUUUGAUGGAGAUAUGCCCCUGCUGCCCUGAUUAGCUGAAGCCUCGUGACUGGCGAGGUGGCGUGGCCUGCUGUGCGUGGAUGGGAACUGAGAGUAUAUAAGAGUGAGAGGCCCGGGUUAGAGGAGGAUUAUUAUUCGAGAGAGGAUUACUAUUAGUGGGGGAGAU
rnacentral:lncRNA from 1 species